GUCCCAAAUUUCUUGUCUUAGAUUUGUCUAGAUACGGAUGUAUCUAAUACUAAAAUGUGACUUGAUACAUCCGUAUCUAGACAAAUCUAAGACAAGAAUUUUGGGAC
rfam:Triticum aestivum genome assembly, contig: Triticum_aestivum_CS42_TGACv1_scaffold_385031_5AL